AUUUGGUUGACCUUGAUAGAGAAAUAGAGACUCCACGUGAACCAAGGUAUUCUGCGAAUAAAGAAGACUGGACAAUCAUAGCUUACAAACCAUUCUUAGAUGUCACAAGGUGCAGAGCUGGGCACUGAGGAUUCCUACAAUCAACUGUGUUUUUCUAGACUGAUGGAACAGGUUUGAGCCACUGAGUGGCCGACUUAUGUUCCUGUAAGUGUGACAGCAGAGCUCACUCAAAAACGUACUUUCUAGGUAGCAUUAUUAGAUACUGGUCGGGAACAGGAAUGCUGGCUGAUUAACACAUACUUCAUAAAGUAAUUCAUUGGCUGUAAAAGUGCUUGGAGAUGUCGGGAGGUCACAGAAGGUGCUACUUAAACGCAAAGUCACCUUUUAUUAUCAAUAAACAUGCAUUUGUGUCA